GGAAGCGUGCCCGAGCAGGGACUACCUUGAUAGAGUAGACACGGAACCAUAAAACUCCCACUUCCC
rnacentral:tRNA from 1 species